GGGAGGGGGAGGGGGAGGGGGAGGAGGAGGCGGCUGGUUCAUCAGGGCUGGGGCACAGCGCCUGGCUGACCUUGGACCGCGGCGCUGCCGGGACACUGAAGACUGCAGGCUGCCCUCAGGAGCACUUCAGCACUAGAGGGCCUGCUGGGAGAGUCGGGUGUGUGUGUUCGAGAUCUCAGGAGAGAGAGCAGCUUUUGUCAGUGGGGCCAUGCAAAUGUCUCCUCGGUGUCUGUCAACAAAUAUGACCUUUGCCGAGCGUUCUCCAAGUGCCACCAAACCCAGCAUCAGCAUCGCCUGGGAACUUGUGUGAAAUGCACAUUCUCCAGCCCCACCCUAGAUUCUGAUUCACAAAUUCCAGAUGUUGGGCCGACAACCUGUUUUAAGUCCACCAGAUGAUUCUGAUGCACGCUCAAGUUUGAGGACCACUGGUUGCUGCUAUUUCUCAAUUUUAAAAAAUUAUAUGUAUAUAUAUAAGUUUUAUCUUUGUAUUUUAAUUCUAUAUUAUUAUAUAUGAUAUAUAAUACAGGUUACUGUUAAUAUAUUUAUUUAAAAAUAUAUAUGGCCGGGUGCGGUGGCUCACGCCUGUAAUCCCAGCACUUUGGGAGGCCGAGGCAGAUGGAUCGUGAGGUCAAGAGAUCGAGACCACGGUGAAACCCCGUCUCUACUAAAAAAAAAAAAUUAGCCAGGCGCGGUGGCGGGCACCUGUAGUCCCAGCUACUCGGGAGGCUGAGGCAGGAGAAUGGCGUGAACCUGGGAGGUGGAGCUUGCAGUGAGCUGAGAUUGCGCCACUGCACUCCAGCCUGGGUGACAGAGAGAGACUCCAUCUCAAAAAAAAAAAAAUUAUAUAUAUAUAUAUAUAUAUAUAUAUAUAUAUAUAUAUAUAUGACUUUGUAGUAAGUCCUCCUUUUUUUCCCCUUAUUUUCCUUCCUUUCUUCCUUCUUGCUUUGCUUUAGAAGCCCCAAACACAACCAUGAAAGUCCUUGGUCUCUUCCAGGUUGCACAGAUCCCCUCUAUUUUUAAAUAUCCUUACAGUUUUCCCUGGAUGUUGCCUGGGAGUCCAUCCUUAUAGAUAAUGUUACAUAAGGACCUGAACUUAUCUUUUUCCAGGUCACUGCCAGGUCCAGUGCUAUUAAACAAAGCAUCUUCCCUAUUGAUUCGAGGGCUCAUCUGUGUAUGUUUCAGGCAUUUGUGUGCCCAGGGGUCUGUUCCUGAGCUCUCCAGGCUGUGCCCCGGUCUGUCCCUUCAUUCACUCUCUACUUCUGUUUGUUACAUUUCAAUGCAUGUUGGUAUCUACUAGGCCAACUCCUCACAGCCACUCUAACCCCUUUUCGCUUUACUUUUUCAGACUUGACAGUGAUUUAUAGUUCUUUUCUUCUGUAUAAAUUUUGAAGUGAGUUUGUCUAAUUCCUUCAAAGGAAUCCAACUAGAUUGAUUAGGAUAAAAAUGUAUAGAUUAAGUUAGAACAAACUGACAUCCACCUUGUUAGCUUGCUCUAUUCAUGAGUAUGUUAUAUUCAUUCUUUUAUGAUCUUCAUGGUGUUUGUUUUCCUUUAAAGCAUUUAUUUCUAGACAUGCAUAUGUUUUCCUUUUUAAUUAAAAAAAUGUUCAAUUGCAA
rnacentral:lncRNA from 10 species